GCAGUCGUACGAGAGUUUUUACUCUAGUGGCGGACGGGUGAGUAACACGCUGAGAAUUUACCUUUAGGAGGGGGAUAACAAUUGGAAACGAAUGCUAAUACCCCAUAUGCUUUCGAGUGAAAUGGAUUUAUAUUUAUUCGCCUAAAGAGAAGCUCGCGGCUGAUUAGCUUGUUGGUAAGGUAAGAGCUCACCAAGGCGACGAUCAGUAUCUGGUUUGAGAGGACGAUCAGACACACUGGAACUGAGACACGGUCCAGACUCCUACGGGAGGCAGCAGUGGGGAAUUUUCCGCAAUGGGCGAAAGCCUGACGGAGCAAUACCGCGUGAGGGAAGACUGCCUAUGGGUUGUAAACCUCUUUUUUCAGGGAGGAAUAAAUGACGUGUACCUGAAGAGUAAGCAUCGGCUAACUCCGUGCCAGCAGCCGCGGUAAGACGGAGGAUGCAAGUGUUAUCCGGAAUCACUGGGCGUAAAGCGUCUGUAGGUGGUUUAAUAAGUCAACUGUUAAAUCUUGAGGCUCAACUUCAAAAUCGCAGUCGAAACUAUUAGUCUAGAGUAUAGUAGAGGUAAAGGGAAUUUCCAGUGGAGCGGUGAAAUGCGUAGAUAUUGGAAAGAACACCGAUGGCGAAAGCACUUUACUGGGCUAUUACUAACACUCAGAGACGAAAGCUAGGGUAGCAAAUGGGAUUAGAUACCCCAGUAGUCCUAGCCGUAAACUAUGGAUACUAGAUGUUGAACAGAUCGACCUGUGCAGUAUCAAAGCUAACGCGUUAAGUAUCCCGCCUGGG
rnacentral:rRNA from 1 species